UACGUAGGCGGCAAGCGUUGUCCGGAUUUACUGGGCGUAAAGGGCGUGCAGGCGGUUUGUCUAGUCUAGGGUGAAAGCUCCCGGCUUAACUGGGAGAGGUCCUUGGAUACUGGCAAACUUGAGGGAGGCAGAGGAAAGUGGAAUUCCCGGUGUAGUGGUGAUAUGCGCAGAUAUCAGGAAGAACACCAAUGGCGAAGGCAGCUCUCUGGGACGGUACUGACGCUGAGACGCGAAAGCGUGGGGAGCGAACAGG
rnacentral:rRNA from 1 species